GAAGGGUAAGGCCCGAUUAGAGGAGGCCUUGGGUCAGUGGUACAAUACUAUAGACAGUUUUGUCGACCAACUCAUAAAACAAGCGAAGGAGUCUGUACAGAAGAAGUAAACAUUCGAGGUAAUCUUAUGAUUCAAGAAUUAAAAUGAAUUGCUAGCAGAUUGUGUACAGUUUGAGAAUGCAAGAGGAGUUUCCAGCAGAGCUCAGUUACAAACGAGCUAGCUGCCGAACGUUUAUGGGCUCAACUACAGACUG
rnacentral:lncRNA from 1 species